rnacentral:lncRNA from 1 species
CUCAGACAGGAGACACAGAGUACCCGUUAGUGCAUUUCCUUUCCCUGGUACCCUCUUCCAGCUCAUCACCAGUGAACAAUUGGACCACCAUCUUGUGCCAGGGGCUGCUGUGCUCCACCUGCCACCAGUGAAGGGGUCCUCAUUACCAGCCAGGUGCCUCGUGACUUUGGACACGUUACUAAUCUCUCCAGGGCUUGGCAUCACGAUCUGUACGAUGGAGGCCUGGUUAUUCAGUCCAGAAAGGAUUCUCCAAUGGUGCACAGCAAUCUGCAGCCUGGAAUGUGGAGGCAGUGGCUGCUAUCUUGGGUGAGGAGGACACGGGUCACACUCUAUAAAUAGCAGAGAGGCGAGGUGAAAGGAGCAGGGCCACUGCUGUGAUAGAUUGGCUUGCAAAAAUGGCCCCAACUAUUCCCCUCCCUGAAUCCAUGAUUCUUGCAGUGUGAUUUUGCAGCUCAUCAAGAGGUGGAGUGUAUUUUCUCACACCUUGCAUCUGGGCUGCCUUGUGACUUGCUCAUGUCAAUAGAAUGCAGCAGAAGUGACCAUGUGCCAGUUUCAUGCUUAGAUCUCAAAGACCCAUGCAUACUUCUACUUUCCAUCUUGGACUCCUGCUUCCACCACGAGCACAAGCUCUGGCUAGCUUGCUGGAGGAUGAGAGACUAUGUGGAGGAGAAUUGAGGGGUCCCAGCUGACAGCCUGCCAAACUCUAGAAGCAGAGUUACCUAGCCAUAACACAGCUGCAUGUAAACAGAGGAAGGAGCCCAGACCCUUGCCUCUGUGGUGGAAACAAGCCUGGAUUAGUCUACUUCCGGUUGACAGACAAUGUGGAACAGAUCUUACUUGUCCCGGUUGUGGUCUGAGACAUAUCAGGAAACCCAUCCACCGCCAGUAAAUCUGACCUGUGGCUGACUCACCCACUGACAGCAGGCGUACAACACGUGGGAUGCCACCUCAAUGUGGCCUGAUGAGCAGUGCCAUGUCUGUGCCCAGGAUCCAAACCAGCAAAACCCUGGACCACCGAAGCGGAGUGUGCGAACUUAACCACUCGGCCACAGGGUCGGCCCCUCUUCUUCUUUUUUUUU